rnacentral:rRNA from 1 species
UACGUAGGGUCCGAGCGUUGUCCGGAAUUACUGGGCGUAAAGAGCUCGUAGGUGGUUUGUCGCGUUGUUCGUGAAAACUCACAGCUUAACUGUGGGCGUGCGGGCGAUACGGGCAGACUUGAGUACUGCAGGGGAGACUGGAAUUCCUGGUGUAGCGGUGGAAUGCGCAGAUAUCAGGAGGAACACCGGUGGCGAAGGCGGUUCUCUGGGCAUUACCUGACGCUGAGGAGCGAAAGUGUGGGGAGCGAACAGG